UACGUUUUAGUAUAUGAUGUACACAAAUUUUUGAUAUUUGAAAAGAUGGUUAAAUUCCAUCAAAUGUAG
rnacentral:tRNA from 1 species